rnacentral:misc_RNA from 1 species
GGCUUCUUCUUCAGGUAAAUUCAUCAACUUGAUAAGUCCUUGAAGAACUUGCUGAUCAUGCCUGGUAAUUAUUCUAAUCUGCAAAACUUUUUCUGGAGUCACUAUCACUGUAUCAUCCUGGAAAAGAGGUAGAUCCUGAACAAUCAUAGUAUUGUCGCCAACCUUUUUCUUUAAUAACGAAACAUGAAACACAGGAUGUACAGUGGAAUUAGGGGGUAGUUUCAGUUUGUAAGCCACAGUACCAACUUUAGCUUCCACCUGAAAAGGCCCAUAAUACCUUGCUGCCAGCUUGAAGUUUUUCCUUAAGGCUAUAGAACUCUGUUUGUAGGGUUGUAAUUUAAGAUACACCCA